CCUACGGGUGGCUGCAGUGAGGAAUAUUGGUCAAUGGGCUUACGCCUGAACCAGCCAAGUCGCGUGAGGGAAGACUGCCCUAUGGGUUGUAAACCUCUUUUGUCAGGGAGCAAUUGGCGCUACGUGUAGCGUUAUCGAGAGUACCUGAAGAAAAAGCCUCGGCUAACUACGUGCCAGCAGCCGCGGUAAUACGUAGGCGGCGAGCGUUAUCCGGAAUGACUGGGCGUAAAGGGUGCGUAGGUGGUUUUGCAAGUUAGUAGCGUAACUCCAAGGCUCAAACUUGGAACUACUAAUAAAACUGUUGGACUUGAGUGCAGGAGGGGCAACCGGAAUUCCUAGUGUAGCGGUGGAAUGCGUAGAUAUUAGGAGGAACACCAGUGGCGAAGGCGGGUUGCUAGACUGUAACUGACACUGAGGCACGAAAGCGUGGGGAGCAAACAGGAUUAGAUACCCUAGUAGUC
rnacentral:rRNA from 1 species